rnacentral:rRNA from 1 species
CAAUAGCGUAUAUUUAAGUUGUUGCAGUUAAAAAGCUCGUAGUUGGAUUUCGGGUUGGCUUCAGCGGUCUCGCUUUGCGUUUGUACUGCCGCAGCCUUCCUUCUUGCUGGGGACGGUCCUCCGGGCUUCAUUGCUUGGGGUCUGGAAUCAGCGACGUUACUUUGAGUAAAUUAGAGUGUUCAAAGCAAGCCUACGCUCUGAAUAUAAUAGCAUGGGAUAACACGACAGGACUCUGGCCUAUCGUGUUGGUCUGUAGGACCAGAGUAAUGAUUAAGAGGGACAGUCGGGGGCAUUCGUAUUCCGUUGUCGGAGGUGAAAUUCUUGGAUUUACGGAAGACGAACAUCUGCGAAAGCAUUUGCCAAGGAUGUUUUCAUUGA